rnacentral:rRNA from 1 species
GACAGAGGGUGCAAACGUUGUUCGGAAUUACUGGGCGUAAAGCGUGUGUAGGCGGCCAUAUAAGUCGGAUGUGAAAGCCCUGGGCUCAACCCAGGAAGUGCACUCGAUACUGUGUGGCUCGAGUACUGGAGAGGUUGGUGGAAUUCUCGGUGUAGAGGUGAAAUUCGUAGAUAUCGAGAGGAACACCGGUGGCGAAGGCGGAUCUCUGGGCCAUUACUGACGCUGAGGAGCGAAAGCGUGGGGAGCGAACAGG